rnacentral:rRNA from 1 species
GAUGAACGCUGGCGGCGUGCCUAAUACAUGCAAGUCGAGCGAACUAUUGGGAGUUGGCCCUGAAAUGUUAGGGGGGGAGGGGUGAGAAACAUAUGGGUAACCUGGCUGUAGGGGUGGGAUAACUGCGGAAAACCGGAGAUACCACCGGCUACCAUUGAGGGACACAUGGCGUUCUUUUAAACGGUGGCUUUCAGCUACCCCUUACAGAUGGUCCCGAGGUGCAUUAGUAAGUUGGUGCGGAAACGGCUCACCAAGGCGACGAUGCGUAGCCGACCGGGGAGGGUGAUCGGCCACACUGGGACCGGGACACGGCCCAGGCUCCUACGGGAGGCAGCAGGAGGGGAACUUCCGCAAUGGGGGAAAGUCUGACGGAACAACGCCGGGGGGGCGAAGAAGGCCUUCGGGUCGUAAAGCUCUGUUGUGAGGGAAGAAAGGGUAUCAUGCUAAUAGGGCGGUACCUUGACGGUACCUAAACAGAAAGCCACGGCUAACUACGUG